CCUACGGGGGGCAUCAGUGGGGAAUAUUGGACAAUGGGGGGAACCCUGAUCCAGCCAUGCCGCGUGUGUGAAGAAGGCCCUCGGGUUGUAAAGCACUUUCAGUGAGGAAGAACGCCUGGUGGUUAAUACCCAUCAGGAAAGACAUCACUCACAGAAGAAGCACCGGCUAACUCCGUGCCAGCAGCCGCGGUAAUACGGAGGGUGCGAGCGUUAAUCGGAAUUACUGGGCGUAAAGCGCGCGUAGGUGGCUUGAUAAGCCGGUUGUGAAAGCCCCGGGCUCAACCUGGGAACGGCAUCCGGAACUGUCAAGCUAGAGUGCAGGAGAGGAAGGUAGAAUUCCCGGUGUAGCGGUGAAAUGCGUAGAGAUCGGGAGGAAUACCAGUGGCGAAGGCGGCCUUCUGGACUGACACUGACACUGAGGUGCGAAAGCGUGGGUAGCAAACAGGAUUAGAUACCCCGGUAGUC
rnacentral:rRNA from 1 species